UACGGGGGGGGCAAGCGUUGUUCGGAAUUACUGGGCGUAAAGGGCUCGUAGGCGGCCAACUAAGUCAUACGUGAAAUCCCCCGGCUUAACCGGGGAACUGCGUCUGAUACUGGAUGGCUUGAGUUCGGGAGAGGGAUGCGGAAUUCCAGGUGUAGCGGUGAAUGCGUAGAUAUCUGGAGGAACACCGGUGGCGAAGGCGGCAUCCUGGACCGAUACUGACGCUGAGGAGCGAAAGCCAGGGAGGCAAACGGG
rnacentral:rRNA from 1 species